CAAUUUCUUGGAAACUGUCAUGGUGCACCCCAAACCCUGCAGACAGCAAGGCAUGGCCGCUCCUUUAAGAGACCUGGCUGGAUUUGACUCCAGCAUCCCAGUCAGGAUCUCUACCAUGCUGUCCACUAGGGGGUUCGGUAUCUGCCUGCAUUCAUCUGCUACCUGACUCCUUUGCCUGGAUGGAGCAGUGCUGAUCCACCUGCAGCCCCUUACUAAUUAGAGACAGCUUAUUCUAAUCAACCGGUUGUAAAAGCCAACUCUGCCUGAGGCCUAGU